UCCUGGACUAUUUUUUUAAUUUUUUGUGUCAAAUGUUUGCCAAAACUUUACUUUUUGGUUAAGCUAAGAAAUAGGUUAAACUGGGAUUUAAAGAAGUUUGACGUUUCGUGUCAGUUGAACAGUUACCUUCAAAAAAUAGUCCAGGAUUAAUGUUGGUUUGUUUUGUCCCGGUUUUUUUUGAUCGCGCUGGUAGGACGAAAAUGUUCUUGCCGAUAUAUCAAACAUAAGCUCUGACUUAAACAGGUCAAGCCUUCCCAAUGUAGAUUUAUUGGAUAAUUUUGUGUUUUCACAAGAGAAUAAUUCAAGCUUGUGUAUUGAAAAUGAUAGAGAAGCGUCUCCUCCCCAUCGUCUGCUGUUUGAUCCUGAGGACAAGGAUGAUGACAUUGCAGAUCCGGAUUAUAUACCCUCGAGGGAGGAACAACAGAAUAUCAAUAUGGAUAGUGACUCAGAUUUAGAAGUACGAGACGUGACUUUUAAUAAUAUAGAAGAGGCAGGUGAUAACAUAGAAGAGAUCGGUGAAGCUGAUAGUCAAGAGGAUACAGAAUCAGAUGUAAAAGAAAAUGGACCCGAAAUAUUGAAUAAAAAGCGACCACGUACUUCAAAAGAAAAAGUUAUAAGAAUAAACACCCUAUCGGGCCUCCCACCUGCAACUGCAAGACUAAAAAAUGCCUUAAUGCAUUUGAUUCAGACAAAAGAAAAAACUUGCAUACACGAUUUUGGUCAUUAGAUAAGGAUUUAUAAACGAUGUGGCUUUAUAAGCAAAUUCACGAAACGUAAGCGUCUGGAAAGUCGUAGAAAUUUUUCUAGAACAUAUAACUUGCCGAAAAUUCACGCAAAUGGUGAAGACGAGCAGAUAAAAGUAUGCCAAAAAAUUUUUAUGACAACUUUGGGGUACAAAAGUACGAUGGUGGUAGACUAUAUGUUAAAAAAGAAUAAGGAUCCUCAUGGUACACAAAUAGCAACUCCCUUAUUAGCAGACCAAAGAGGAAAACGGACUCCAGGAAAUAAACAAAGCAAAACUCCAAUUAAAGACCAUAUAAAUUCCUAUAAUCCCAAACCAUCACAUUAUAGAAGAGCACACGCGCCAAAUAGAAAGUACCUGCCAGCUGAAUUGUCUAUAAGGGAUUUGUACAAAGACUAUAACGAAAAAUAUCCUGAAAAUAAAGUUAGCUAUGAAACUUAUAGAAAAGAAGUAGAAGCAUUAAAUAUUGGGUUUUAUGAAAUAGAAGCAGACAAAUGUGAUACAUGUUCGAAAUUAGGCCAAACAAAUAGCGAAGAAACUUCACUUAAAAAUGAAGAGCACGUUGCUGAGUACCAUCUACGACGAUCUUUAUACCAAAAAGAUGCGCAGCAGUAUUUGACGGAUCCAAUUGUAAAAGUUUAUGCGACGGAUAUGCAAAAGGUGUUCCUGUUACCGAGAAUGCCAAAAGUUAAAGAAUCAUUUUUUACAUCAAGGCUUGUUGUUUUCAAUGAAACCUUUGCCUCUUUAAAGAAUAAUGACUGCUAUUUUAUGGCAUGAGGCUAUCGCUGGACGAAGAGGAGAAGACCUUGCCAGUGCAUUUAUAAAAUUUUUGGAUCUCUGUAGAGAUGCAUCAGAAGUUAUUUUGUGGGCUGAUAAUUGUA